UACGUAGGGGGCAAGCGUUGUCCGGAUUUAUUGGGCGUAAAGAGCGUGUAGGCGGCCAUGCAGGUCAGCUGUGAAGACUCGAGGCUCAACCUCGAGACGUCGGUUGAAACCGCUUGGCUAGAGUCCGGAAGAGGAGAGUGGAAUUCCCGGUGUAGCGGUGAAAUGCGCAGAUAUCGGGAAGAACACCCGUGGCGAAGGCGGCUCUCUGGGACGGUACUGACGCUGAGACGCGAGAGCGUGGGGAGCGAACAGG
rnacentral:rRNA from 1 species